rnacentral:lncRNA from 1 species
UGCCUUUUCAUUUUCUCCUGGUUGUACUUUCUGAAGGAUUGUCAACCUCUGGUUCUCAAAAGUGUGGUCUGCAGAGCCCUUGGGCAUCCCCAAGACCCUUCCAGGAGUCUGCAAGGUCCAAACUGUACUUUGGUGGUACGAGGAUGUUACUCUCCUUUCUCGGUGCUGGUGCUUCGCUCCAGAGCGGUUAGGAGUUACGGUGUUCAUCACUGCUCACUCCCAGUAGAAACACUGUCAGAGACACUUAAGAAAGUCUUUUCUGGUGAGAUUGGUAGUGAUACUGGUGAAUGUGAGUUUUUGGUGUGUAUAGUGAAAUGUGUCAAUAUCUGGAAGAUCUGGAUUAACUCAGUGAACCAGUAUUUUCCAAACGACCAGUGCACAAUGUUACAAAAUCAUGCCUCAGGUACGAGAGCAAGAGCAAGAUAAGCUAAAGGAUUUUAAUGUAUCAGAGUGCAAAAAGUUUAUUGAUCGGCUUUCAGGCUCCACACUGCAAUUAAUCUUUAAGAAAUUACCUCGUGUUGAGCUUUGCUAUAGUAUCAAAGAAUAUCCAGUUGUCUGAAACGGCUACUGCUCUCUGUUUUCCAACAACAUGUCUGUGUGAGGCCAGAUGUUCUUCGUACACUUCAACCAAAACAAUGUAUCACAACAGGUGGAACGCAGGAGCCAAUCUUCUACAAAGCCCGAUAGUUAAAAGAUUUGCAAACAGAUCUGGGGAUGAAGAGAAAGAUUGCAGCAGCACCUUGAAAACUGAAUUCUGCCAAAAUAAGCCUAAAAAAAGUAAAGUGCUGAUUGGUGGUUUUCUUCGUGUUCUUUGUGUUUCUUGAUAUUUCCUGGUUAUGCCAUAUGAGUAUUUUUCUUGAGUUUCCUCUUUGCUGAGUUUCUUUACGUUCCCCCCACACCCACCCCGCCAAGCCUGAACCUGCAGGAAUGCUAUUCUCCCACUGACAAUGGUAGGAGUUUUAUUCCCGUGAUGGAAGAAUCAGUUGGAAUAAAAUGAGAUGAGAAAAACAUAAGUUUUUCUCCAUUUUGUUACCAAGAACAGGAUGAUUUAUGCACUCAGCAGUGUGGGGACAGUAUGGAGACACGGGUGUGGAGGUUCAGACUCUGCCUUGAUGUUCCCUCAGGACGUCUGUACGGACGUGGUCUUCUGUUAGACAAACAUGUCCAGUCGGAUGGAGCCGAGUUUUUUUCUGACAACCGAUCUGGAUGCUUGGUAAAGAGCUGCAAUAUGUGUGAUACGAUAUUAAAGUGGAAGCUUAGGGACAUAGAGACCAACUGCAAAGCAGGAUGGGACUCUGAAAUGUGCAGGCCCUGAAAACGGAGACGGGGACGUGGUGCUGCU